AUGGUGCCACACACUCUGGUCCUCAUGUCCCUGUUGCUCUGGGCCUCUGGUGCCAGUGGGGACAUUGUGCUGACCCAGUCUCCAGCCUCUCUGGCUAAGUCUCAAGGAGAAACGGUCACCAUCAACUGCAAGGCCAGCCAGAGUGUGAGCAGCUACUUAAACUGGUACCAGCAGAAACCAGGACAGACUCCUAAGCGACUCAUCUAUAGCGCAACGAACCGGGCAUCUGGGGUCCCUGAUCGGUUCAGUGGCAGUGGGUCUGGGACAGACUUCACUCUCACCAUCACCAACUUCCAGGCUGAAGACGCUGCAGUUUAUUACUGUCUGCAAGGCUAUAAUAAUCCACGCACAAGGCUUCAGCCUCGAACACAAACCUCCCGGGGGCUACAGGCCAGUGAGUCUUCACUGCACCAGCUGCUUUCUUUCUGCUCAGCCCUGAACAUGCACUCUUCCUCUGUCUGCCCCAAGGACCUCAUCUCCUAGCUAAUUCCUCAUAGUAUUUGUAGGUUCCAGGGGAAAAUUAAGGGAUGUAGCUUCUUCUGGAUUUCCUUUUGUGGUAAAAUAUACAAAAAGAAUGCUGUAAAAAUCCCUUCUACGCUUUUUCAGUUUUCAUAUCACAGGAACCUACUUGUUUCACAUGGGUAGGUCACAUGACUGAUUUGGGAAAGGGUCCAGUGAGUUUUCUACCCUGAAAGAUCAGUUCUGUCUUCAUUGUGCCUUCUUGACUCUAGGAAGUUCUCAUUUUAAUUCAUUAUUUUCCUGGACUUUUUACUUUUUCUGCAAUCAACCCUCACAACUCUAACCCGAUAUUAUACCUGGAUCCUUCAUAUUUAAAGUCUCCCUCACAGAAGGUAAUCUUCCUCUCUUACUUUUUUCCUUCCGUGGAUCCUGUUUUCCAGCCAAGCCAUCCUGGUCAAUGUCAAUGAAGGUGUUUUCCUGCUCUAAGCUCCUAUUUCACUGGCCUUUUCUCCCCUCCCCAUGUCUUUCAGUGGCACUCAUUCUUUCAAAGGCCAGUCUCUAACUCAUUAACCCUAUCACCCUAGAAACAUGUGACAGCUUUCCCAUGUUCUAUUUUCAUUAGUUGUCAAUUCCUCUUUAAAUUAAUCCCUUGGGCACCCAAG